AAGGAGCAAUUUAUCAAAGUCCGAUCUCGUCUGAUCUCUGGAUCUAAGCAGAGCUGGGUCUGGUUAGGACUUGGAUGGGAGAUCGUUGGGAUUAUUGGAGUCCAUA
rnacentral:rRNA from 1 species